CAGUAGCCACGGUAAUACGUAGGGUGCGAGCGUUAAUCGGAAUUACUGGGCGUAAAGCGUGCGCAGGCGGUUGUGUAAGACAGGUGUGAAAUCCCCGGGCUUAACCUGGGAACUGCGCUUGUGACUGCACAGCUAGAGUAUGGCAGAGGGGGGUGGAAUUCCGCGUGUAGCAGUGAAAUGCGUAGAGAUGUGGAGGAACACCGAUGGCGAAGGCAGCCCCCUGGGCCAAUACUGACGCUCAUGCACGAAAGCGUGGGGAGCAAACAGGAUUAGAUACCCCCGUAGUCCAUGUCUCUUAUAC
rnacentral:rRNA from 1 species